CGGGCAGGUGCGGGGCAGGGGAGGGACCGGGCGGGGUGGGAACGCGACCGCCCCAGCACUGCCCCUUCCCCGCACGGUCCGAUCUCUCCCCCUGCGGAGAAGUACCCCCCCUGGGGACCCCGGCACCUGCUGCGCUGUCCCCCAGCCCUGUUUGUUGAGUGGCUUCCUGCCCCCAGGCGCUUUGGACAACAGGCGUCACACCCAGCAGGGUAGAUGCCCCAUUUCCUGGCUGGGGAGACCGAGGCCUGCCCACGGCCAGGCAGGUAAUGAGCGGGACGGCCCUGAGAUGAGAGUGCCGGCCUGUCUGGCUCCAGCUCUGUGCCCGCCUGUCCUAACAGGCCUGCCAGGCGUGGGCCUCGCGUCCCUUCCCGGCAGACUGCAAGUCAGAGGUCACCGCUCCCCCCUUGAGGCCGUGAAGAGGGCCUGGCGUUAAGUGAGCCGGCCGCGGCCGCGGCCGAAGGUGGCGGGGCUGGGCCUGAGGGCGGGGUGGGGGUGGGCUCCGCUCCCCUCCAGCAGGCCCCCNNNNNNNNNNCCCCCCCCCCGCCCGCGCUCGCUCCCCGCAGACACCCCCUGUUUGGCCGCAAUGUGCCCCUGUCCAGCGGCUCGGGCUUCAUCAUGUCGGAGGCCGGCCUGAUCGUCACCAACGCCCACGUGGUGUCCACCUCCAAUGCCGUCUCGGGCCGGCAGCAGCUCAAGGUGCAGCUGCAGAACGGAGACACGUACGAGGCCACCAUCAAAGACAUCGACAAGAAGUCGGACAUCGCCACCAUCCAGAUCCACCCCAAGGUGAGUGGGCGGCGGGCGGGGCGGGGGCGCCUUCCCAGGCCCCAGCGCUCGGAGUCGCCUCGGCCCGACCUCCCUGUGGGACGCUCGGAGGAACCGAGGCCCAGCCACGGGGCGGGCCAGCCUAGAACCGGGGUCUCCAGACCCCCCCGCCCCUGCCUCCUGAGCCGCCGUGUGCGAGCAGAGCCGGGCUGCCGCCCGCCAGCCAGCGAUGUGCCCCCAAGUCAUUCGCGAAGGGGCGUCCUCCAAGGCCCGGGGACGCUGCCUGCGUCCCUCCCGGGUCACUCCAGGACAGGCAGCUUCCCCCGUGGGGCUGACGGGACGCUGGCCCGGAGCUCCGGGACAUACGCCCCGGUCCCUCCACAUCCCGUCCCCCCAGCUGGCCAGGCGGGGCCCACAGCGGGGCCGCAGCCGUCCCGCGUCACCGCCAGGGGCUGGCACUGUGCCUGCGCCCCACCGCCCUUGACAGAAGGGGCGUCGGUGUCCUGCUGCUUCCGAGGGGACACUGAGGUCAGAGAGGUUAAGUCACUGCCCAAGGUCAGGCUAAGCCGGGGCAGGGCACGUCCAGUGUUGUGGUCGUGACUCUCGGUGACGGCAGCCUGCCCCUGCCGUGAGGCCGGUGACCGGGCGGCUGUCUGCGCUGGUGAGUCUGGCUUGGCUGACUUGGAAUCCGGCUUCUGCUCUUUCUGAAUGAAAGUGUGUGGUUUUGGUGAUAAUGAACCUUUUGUGAGGAGGCUCCCUCUUGCCCGAUCCAGGGAGGAGGAGAGGCUUAUCCCAACGGGGACCCUUCCCCACGGCAGUUACUGAGCCCGGGGACACCACCUCCGUUCUAAAGAUGGGGAAACUGAGGCUGGGGCGGGGCACGGGGUGUGCUCAAAGACAGAGGCUGGCAAACGUCUUCGGUGAAGCUCCAGAUAGUAAGCACUUCGAGGCUUUGUGGGGUCCGGGCCCUCUGGGGACGCCUCUCAACGACGCAGCCACCACAGGCCACACGAGCCCGCGGCCGUGUCCCCAUAAAACGUUAUUUGCAGAACAGAAACAGGCAGCAGGCUGCACUUGGCCCGAGGGCCACAGGGUGCAGCCCCUGCCGAGGACCCCCACAGGGUGACGCAGAGCCAGACUGGACCGCGGGUCUGGCGGUCGCCGGGUCUCUCCUGUUCCAGGCGCCGCGGCACAAUCCCGAGGGGCACACGCGGCAGCCGUCCGUGGCCCCAGGGGCGGGUGGACUUUAGUAAGGCCUGCACGACCUCCCAGCGGGAGCUGCCUCAGCCCCUGGGUCCCGCGCGUGGUGGCCCCCCCAGCCUUGGGGGGGGCUGCGGCCCCGCGGCCACGCGGGCAGGUGAGCAAGGGCCGAGUGGAGCCCUGCCGGCUCGCCUCACCCCCGUUCACAGGUCCCCCCGUUUGUACUGGGAGCUGCCCUGGGACAGAAGACCUUAAGUGGCAUGGUGGCUGGAGCAGAAAGAGGAGGCCACUGUCAGGGAGGAAAGGGGAGUGACCACACACAACCGGGUGCUCAGAGGGUCCGAGGUGUGGGGUCCUUGUCCAGAGCUAGAGGGAGGCACCCCCGCGAUCGGGACAGGACGGUCGCCGGCACCUUCUCAUAAAGCUUUCUGUCUGCAAGUGACUGCCGUCCCCCGGGAGCCCCCAAAAGCAGUGCCCCUCCCCGGCGGUGGCCUCGGACGCAAGGGGUGUGACACCGAACCCCCAGAUUCAUGGAGGUGCUGGCGACGGGGCCUCGGCCGCCGUGGAUUCCACGUUCGCCACUGUGCGCACUUGGGCACCUUAAGCCCGCUCAGGAGCACCCCCUCUGAGCGUGUCUCCUGCAGCUUCCGGAACACGGAGGCGACCCCAACACGGCUGGCCCUCAGAGCUGCCGGCCCAGCCGUGGACUCAGACAGACAGACGGGCUGGCUCCACGUGAAACUGGAGUGGGCAGGCGUCUCCGUGGGCAGGGGGUGAUGGCAGAGCUUGGCUGAGUCACCUCGCCGCUCUGGGCCUCAGUUUCCCUGUGUGUCUACAUCGGGAGAUCUGGUUCAGCUGGAUCAAGGAUUCCAAAACUUGGGCUCCAGAGCCCUUGCAGUCCUAGGCAUCAGUCUGUGUGUGAUGCACUUUUGACGGCAUUCGUAGCCCCUGUCAGACUUUCAGAGGGACCUGUGGCCACCGAACCACUGAGCUCGAUGACCUCAGAGGCUGUGUCCAGCCGGACCCCGUGGGCCUCCUCCCUGUGUGUGACCCCUGCAGCCCACCUGGGGACCCCUGUGGUCACUGGUGCGGCUGAGGCUCUGUUCCAAGGGCUCCAGCCCGGGUCUCUCCUGCUACGGGUCAGCUGGAGGCCAGCCCGGCCUCUGUCUGAGUUGGCAGCUUGCCUCGGCCUUCACCCCCGAUGGGUCUCGCCAGCCGCUCCGGCCCUCCUGGGACCGUCCCGGCCUGGAUCUGGCUCCAGUCUCACCCAGGGCAGACAGCUGAGCCUCCCUCCCCGUGUCCCCCCUGCAGAAGAAGCUCCCGGCCCUGCUGCUGGGCCACUCGGCAGACCUGCGGCCCGGCGAGUUUGUGGUGGCCAUCGGCAGUCCGUUUGCCCUGCAGAACACGGUGACCACGGGCAUCGUCAGCACGGCCCAGCGGGACGGCAAGGAGCUGGGCCUCCGGGACUCCGACAUGGACUACGUCCAGACAGACGCCAUCAUCAACGUGAGUCCUCGCGGGGCCUCCGGCGGGGCUCGCUCCCCGUCGCCCGGCCCGCGUGCUAGAAAGGUCCUUCUUUACGCUGAGCGGAGCCUGGACUCCCUGCGACUUCUGCACGCGGGCGCCAGGCCCGCCCUGGGAGUCGGCGGCUCCGUUCCUGACCCGGGCCAGGAACCCGGGUCACGCCCGAACCACUCACCCUGUCAGCCUCGCUUUUCUCGUCCUCAGUGUUGCCACCGAAUCGGGGGGCUCACGGCGCGCUCUGCCCAGGCGCCCCACACCCACCUCUCUGGUUUGCCGUGGUUCGGGCUCUUCUGGAAAUGUUAGUCUUUGUAGAGAGCCCUCGAGGCGGGUGGGGAAGAACUGUACCCCGUGAGGCGAAUCUGGAGGCGUGUGGCGUGUGCAGAGGGCUCUGGCCCAGGCCAGACGGCGUCCACGUGGCCUCCGGGGCCUCAGCUUUCUCACCUGUGAAAUGGGGGCAGGAGUGAGGCCUUUCGAUGCUGUUGGGGGUAAAAUCCGAGUACCCGUCUUCUGUGCUGGUGAACAGGGAGGGCUCGGGAGACAGAGCUUCAGGAACCCGCGAGGGGCUCAGGGCUCAGCUAACGUCUCGUUUCCUCCCUUGCAGUACGGGAACUCCGGGGGACCCCUGGUGAACCUGGUGAGUGUCCCCAAGUCCUCCACUCACAUGGCAGCACGGCCCCGAGGCGGGGAUGGAACCUCGAAGAUGCGCCUUGAAUCUUCGCACCCGGUGGCUGGGCUGGGGGCCCCGGGGGAGGGCAUGACCCCACGUGCCUGUUGCCCUGCCCCCCAAGCCCCCAGGGAUGCUGAGUAAGGGUGACCCAGAACAGCAGCCAGGCAGGGACCACACGCCCAUCAAGGACCUGGGGCAGGGGAGACACAGGUCACGGCCGGUCACGGCUCUGGGCCCCCCAUCCUUGCGUUUACGUGAGAGGGUGUGGGGGCAUCCUCGUUCCGUCUCAGCCCUGUUGGGUCACCCCUGCCCCAGGUCUGCCCUGGGCCCCAGAGUCAGGCUCAUUCCCGUCCCAGGGGAGACUUCCAGAAUCAACCCAAAGUUCAGUUCAGAAAUCAGUUGGGCUCUGGGCCCUGAGAAUUGUUGGAUGCCCUCCCGCCCUGGGGAGCUCCUGUGGGCAGGUGUGACGUGAGGAGCGGUGAGGGGGCUCUGCAGGGAUGCAGGCAGGAAGGGCUUCCUGGAGGAGGGAGCAUGUAACUUGCACUGUGGAGACCGAGGGUCUGGGGUUGAGACGGACGUGCAGGGGAAAGAUGGUCCGGGGAGCAGCACGGCACGAGCGGGAGGGGUCGGACGCUCAGCGGGACGAAGGCCGCAGCACUGGUGUUCGAGAAAGUCGUGCGGGUGGGCUUCAGGCUGGGGGCCAGAAAAGCCGGCGCAGGGGUGCGUGCUGGGUAUGGAGAGGAGUGCCUUCCCGGGAGGGUGUCAAGAGCGAGGUGUCCGGGGCCCCGGCUGCAGCCUCGAGGGGUGCAGGGUGGGGGCGGCGGGGGAGGCCAGCUCCCGGGGCGCAGAGGGGGCGGGUGAUGCCGCAGCCGCCCCGACCUCACGCCCCCGGCCGCGCUUCUGGAAGGAAGGCAGAGAGGGGCGCGUACGCCUCAUCACCCCCCGUCUGGGCUCCCGGGAUGCUGCCGGGGGUGUCCUCCUCGCGGGGCGGACCGCGAGCUCCCGUACCGACACUCUCUGGCGAGGGAGAGGAGGGGUCCGGCUUGGAGGGAGAGGUGGGGGGUCCCUGGCCCGGAGGCGAACCCCGGAGCGCCUUUCCCGGACAGCUUCCGGGAGCCCCUCGGGGGCGGUGACGGCCGGGCGGCCACGGGAACCGGGCGGCGGCCACGGCGCUCGGGCUGCCCGGGUGACCGCCCCCUCGGACGGCCCCCCGCACAGGACGGAGAGGUCAUCGGCAUCAACACGCUCAAGGUUGCGGCCGGCAUCUCCUUCGCCAUCCCCUCGGACCGCAUCACACGCUUCCUCACGGAGUUCCAGGACAGGCACG
rnacentral:lncRNA from 1 species